rnacentral:lncRNA from 1 species
AUUUCAACAAAAUGAUUUUUUUUAAAUUUCCAAUAGAGAAGUUCGCAAUUUCAGGGUUUUUUUUUUUUUUUUUUACAGUAAUCAAAUGUUCUUAGCAUUUUCUCCCUUUAUAUUCAAGGUAAAGUAACAGUUUUAGCUCUAGUGUAGUUUCACUAAGUUAAUUUAUGAUAAAGUGACAGUAUCUGGGAGAAAGACUGCCCCACUGAUUCCUUCUCACUUUUCCAAACUUAUCUCUCACUUCUCUUCCCUUCAUUCACUAAGCUCCCACUGCACAGGAUUACUCUGAGUUUGUCUAACGGACCAAACUCCUUUCUGCCCUAGGUCUUUGCAUAUUUUCCUUCUACUUAGAGCUUACCUGCCCUACUUUCUUCAGAAUUUCAACGUAAAGGUCACCUCCUCAGAGAGGUGUCUUUCUAACAUCUCUCUCUCCCAUCACACCAUGUCUUAGUACCAUGUCCGAGAGAAAAUUAGAACUCAAUAAAUACAUAAUCUUGGAACCAACCCAAAUGUCCAACAAUGAUAGA